CGGAGGAUCCAAGCGUUAUCCGGAUUCAUUGGGUUUAAAGGGUGCGUAGGCGGAAUGGUAAGUCAGUGGUGAAAGCCUGCAGCUUAACUGCAGAACUGCCUCUGAUACUGCCAAUCUUGAGUACAUUUGAUGUGGGCGGAAUGUGUCAUGUAGCGGUGAAAUGCUUAGAUAUGACACAGAACACCGAUUGCGAAGGCAGCUCACAAAACUGUUACUGACGCUGAGGCACGAAAGCGUGGGGAUCGAACAGGAUUAGAUACCCUGGUAGUCCACGCUGUAAACUAUGAUCACUCGAUGUGUGCGAUAUACUGUACGCGUCCAAGCGAAAGUGUUAAGUGAUCCACCUGGGGAGUACGAUCGCAAGAUUG
rnacentral:rRNA from 1 species